AAAGGGGGAAAAACAGAAGAUUCAGGUGGGAUGCUUCUUCCUCACCUGUCGUGCUACCCUUGGCCAGUGUCUCUUGAGGCGAUAUCAGAGUUUCCAGUGAAGAGAAAACCCUUGAGGUGCUGGACAGGCUUCAUGACAAGCUGCUCCUUUUAAGGGUCACCACAGCAGAUCAUCUGCCCCACCCCACCCUGUCCCCAGCAUCCUCCUGGGACCUGGGACCCUUUUAAUCCGGGUUCGCCGUGUCAGAAGUCAGAGGUCAGCCAAGUCUUGACGCCUGACUCGACUGUUUACAGGCAGUAUGCUGUGAGAGGAGAAGCCAGGGGAGCAAGAGACACAGAGAAAACAGAGGAAGCAGGAACAAGCAGGGCACCCAUGCCAUAUUUACUGCCU